rnacentral:tRNA from 1 species
GCCGACGUAGCUCAAGCGGCAGAGCACCCGCCUUGUAAGUGGACGGUUGCCGGUUCGAGUCCGGCCGUCGGCU